UUAUGGCCAUACCAGGUUAAAACACCAGUUCUCGUACGAUCACCGAAGUUGAGCAACAUCAAGCCUGGUCAGUACCUAGAUGGGUGACCACUUGGAAAUACCAGGUGUUGUAAG